GACGUAGGGGGCAAGCGUUGUUCGGAAUUAUUGGGCGUAAAGAGCUCGUAGGCGGUCUGUCACGUCGGCUGUGAAAACCCGAGGCUCAACCUCGGGCCUGCAGUCGAUACGGGCAGACUAGAGUUCGGUAGGGGAGACUGGAAUUCCUGGUGUAGCGGUGAAAUGCGCAGAUAUCAGGAGGAACACCGGUGGCGAAGGCGGGUCUCUGGGCCGAAACUGACGCUGAGGAGCGAAAGCGUGGGGAGCGAACAGG
rnacentral:rRNA from 1 species